rnacentral:lncRNA from 1 species
CAGUAUUUAAUCGCCUUUAUUCCUAAAUCGUGUGGAAUAUUGGUGUAGAGGCUUACCACAUCAAAACUUAGCAAAACUGAAUUUGUUUCUGUUGUUUUGGGAAGAUGGGACAGGAAGUCGAUGUCAUCCCUGAUGAAACUUGGUAUGUAAGUACAUAGUGGUUUCAAAACAAUCUCAAUAAAAUUGCUUAGACGGUGUGUAGGGCAUGCUGGACCAGCUAUAAUAGGUCUAAGUUUUAGGUCUUUUGGAUGUAAUAAUUUUAUGUACUCACUUUCUUGUUCUUUUACUGCCUGUUGAAUGUUUUUUGAUUUGUGUAUUUUUGGUAAGCCGUAGAAGUUGCUGGGUUUUGGUUCAAAAUUGGUGAUGUAGUCUUUUUCAUUAUCCGUAAGUGAGUUGUGGUGUGUUGAAAUCAGGUUGUUGAUCUUUUUCAUGAUACAGUUUGCAAAACCUAGCACUGGUCUAUAUUUAUAGCGGGUAUUUUGCUACAGUCAAAAAUUGUGAAGCAUGACUGUCAACACUACUACAUGAACCCGAAGAUUGCAAAAUUCAAUGCAUGAAAGUACUAGUUCAAUCAGAAUGAAUAUUUAACAUUCUACUAUUUCAUUUUAUUUUAUUCAAUUAUAAUAUAUUAUCUUAUAAUAUAUCAUUAUAAGAUUGUAAAUAAAACGUGAAAAUCAGACAAGGUUGGAAUUCUUUUAUUAAUAUAUUCUUCUAUACACAAUCACACACACCCAUAUAUAUAUAUAUCUAUAUUCCUAUUGUGUAUAUGCCAACAUGUCUGGAAAGCAACAAACAAAAUUAACAGAAUCCGAAAGAAUUCUAAUGGAAAUUUCAUCGUAACGACCAGGCAAUAUAGCAGAAAAAUGCGAGAACUAUGGAUCAGAGAUAUCUCAAAAGAAGAAAGCAGAUCAAGAAAGUUUUGGCAGCGGAAACAAUUAUUUCUCGACAAAUAUGCUACAAAUUACGGUAAAGACACCAGAACUCCGAGAAAUAGCAUUAAAAGUGGACAACCUCACCAACGCAACAUACACCAGAACACGUGGCAACAUGAACAACCGUUUCACCACGAAUCGAAGACGAACUACGGUAAGAACUCUUCCCAUUUUGUAUGCAAACACCCUAAUGCACACAACAUGAACAAAAAGCACAAACAAAAUAGAUAUUGUUUUGAACAGACCAUUAGCAGUAGAAAUAACAGGAGAUCAUUUUCAAGACCUCAACAGAGAUUACUCCACAAGAAACUGGACAAAAAACCGAUCUAGAUCUAGAAGUAAACCCAGAUCAUUUCUCCAGGUGGUUAAAAACAAUGCUAACAAGAAAUUGAAAAGUAGCAUACAUAAUACCAAAAACAAGACAGAAAACAUAACGAAACCAAGUAAAGUACCACAACCAAAACGCAAAAUUCAUCAAGCAAACAUCAACAGGAAUAUAAAUCAUAACCAGAAAAAAAUCCAUUUUUUUACGUCAGGACAACAAACACCGGAGAAAGAAAAAAAUCGAAGAGGAAACAUACCCCAAACAACUGAACGUAUAGAUCCUAAAAUAAUUAAUUUAUCAAAAAGAGAUCUUGACAAUGAUGAAAUCCAACUUCUGUCAAAAGGACUGAAAUUCACAUUCUACACCAACAGCCAACCACCAAGAAUUAAAGGAGGAUAUCCAAAAAUUCUGUCGAAAAUUACGACUUGUAGAAUUCUUCGCUAACAAAAGUAAUGAGAUUGAUGAAUCCCUAGUAAGGAAUAAAUCAAAUUUCACCCCACCAAAAGGAAGAAAUAACUACCUUGACCAAUACAUUGAUAUCCUGUCUCAAAUUUCCCCUUAGACGCAAUACCAAUGUUAGGCCAAACAUUAGCAAAUCAGAGAUGUCUGCAUGUAAACGUAUACAAAACGAUCAAACAAUAAUAAUUAAACAAGCAGAUAAAGGUGGUGCAAUUGUUAUUAUGGAUACCGAAUACUAUAAGGAUUUGGUUGAAGACCAACUGAAGGAUACAACCUUCUAUUGUGAAAUACCCGCAAAUAUAGACCACCACAUCAUGAAAAAAGAUCAACAACCUGAUUUCAACACACCACAACUCACUUACGGAUAAUGAAAAAGACUACAUCACCAAUUUUGAACCAAAACCCAGCAACUUCUACGGCUUACCAAAAAUACACAAAUCAAAAAACAUUCAACAGGCAGUAAAAGAACAAGAAAGUGAGUACAUAAAAUUAUUACAUCCAAAAGACCUAAAACUUAGACCUAUUAUAGCUGGUCCAGCAUGCCCUACACACCGUCUAAGCAAUUUUAUUGAGAUUGUUUUGAAACCACUAUGUACUUACAUACCAAGUUUCAUCAGGGAUGACAUCGACUUCCUGUCCCAUCUUCCCAAACAACAGAAACAAAUUCAGUUUUACUAAGUUUUGAUGUGGUAAGCCUCUACACCAAUAUUCCACACGAUUUAGGAAUAAAGGCGAUUAAAUACUGGUUAGAAAAACAUAGAGAAGUGAUUCCCAGCAGAUUCACAGUGCCAUUUAUAUUAGACACAGUCAAACUUAUUCUAGAAAAUAACACAUUCUUCUUCAAUGGAAAGAAUUACAUCCAAAUUAGAGGCACGGCGAUGGGAACGAGGUUUGCUCCCGUUUACGCCAACUCUGUAAUGGGAUACUUAGAAGAACAACUCUACCAAGAGGUGGAGGUAAACUAUGGCACUGGAUUUAGAAAGUAUAUUGAAAAGGCAUGGAAGAGAUACCUAGACGACUGUUUCAUAAUCUGGACAGAAUCUCUAAAUACUCUGGAAGAGUUCAAUAUCCUCCUGAACAACCUACACCCAUCUCUCAAAUUUACAAAGGAGAUGAGUAGUACCAAAUUACCAUUCCUGGAUAUAAUGGUAAUUAAAAAAGACACCACCAUCACCACAGAUAUAUACUAUAAACACACAGACACACAUCAAUACCUAAAUUUUAAGUCGUGCCAUCCACCACAUACAAAACGUAACAUCCCAUACUGCCUAGCCAGAAGAAUUUGUACUAUUGUAGAAGAUGCAAAUAUCAGGAACAAACGCCUAAUAGAACUAAGAGAAUUUUUGCUCAAACAAAAAUACCCAUCUCUACUUAUAGAAAAUGGCAUACAGCGGGCUAUAAAAAUACCUAUACAACAACUUAGGACAACCCAAGGAAGAGGAAAACAAGAACAAGUCAUACCAUUCAUAGUGACACACAACCCAUGUCACCAGAAUAUCUUCAACAUUGCCAAAGCAAACCUACCAAUCAUUGCCCAAAGUAAUGAAUUAAAAGACAUAAUCAAGGAUCGAGCUAUGGUGCUUAGUAAAAGACAGCCUAAAAACUUGAAAACAUUACUAACAAAGGCAAAAUUUGACCUCAGCAACAAAGACCAAACAUUCACGGUAUCUAAAUGCAAUGAUAGCCGAUGUGGCACAUGCCAAUUCAUACAUACCGGUCAAUAUAUAAACACAAAAACCGGGAAAAUAUUCACAAACGCGAAUAUGAACUGCAAAAGCAGAAAUUUAAUUUACUGCAUCAAAUGCCCAAAUUGUGAAGAAAUAUAUGUAGGUCAGACGGGAAACGCACUAUUAGAACGCUCACGUGUACACCGGCAACAGAUUAGAGACCCAGAGGUCCGUCAGAUACCUUUGAGUAACCACCUAGCAACAUGUGGUCGGAAAAUAUAUAUAAUAUUUCCAUUCUACAAAUUACACAGCCCAAGUGAAAUCGAGAGGAAAAUCAGAGAAAAGAAUUUUAUUGAUAAAUUCGAACCCAAGCUAAAUAAGCAAUAAUAAUAAUACUUAGAGGUAUUACUUCCACUGCUACGACCAUGACCACUAACAACAACAACAAUACUAAAGGUGAUCAAGACGAAGAUAGCAGGAAAAUUAUCUUAUUUAGGGUUAAAAGCUCUAUUUCCACCACCAUCACCACUAGCAACAAUAAUUAAGGUGCUGACAAUGAUGAUGAUGACAAUUGAAAUAUAAAAAUAUAAAAAUCUCUGACAAAGGAUAUUUACAACAUUUCUAAAAAUAACCCAACAAUUGCUGCUUCGGCCAGGGUCAAGAUACAGGACUCUUGACCUGUCCAACAAAGCAUGAUGCCUAAACCAAUCAGCUCAACCAACCAAUCAGCUUAAGUAAUUGAGUGAUACUACACACUGAUUGGUCAGAAUACAGUUUGCAAAACCUAGCACUCUGGAGCCUACCCAGCUGUAUUUAUAGCACAGAAUCACUCAUCUUGCUACAGUCAAAAAUUGUGAAGCAUACUGUCAACACUACUACAUAACCCGAAGAUAGAAUUCAUAUGAAAGUACUAGUAUAUAAUAUUUAUAUAUAUAUUUUAUUCAAUAUAUAUAUUAUCUUAUAAUAUAUCAUUAUAAGAUUGUAAAUAAAACGUGAAAAUCAGACAAGGUUGGAAUUCUUUUUUAUUAAUAUAUACAUAUAUAUAUGUAUAUAUAUACAUAUAUAUAUAUAUACAUAUAUAUGUAUAUAUAUAUAUAUAUAUAUAUAUAUAUAUAUAUAUAUAUAUACAUAUAUAUAUGUAUAUAUAUAUGUAUAUAUAUGUGUGUGUAUAUAUAUAUAUAUAUAUAUAUAUAUUUAUACAUAUGUAUAUAUGUAUGUGUAUAUACAUAUAUAUGUAUGUAUAUAUAUAUACUUAUAUAUACAUAUGUAUACGUAUAUAUAUAUAUAUAUAUAUAUAUAUGUGUGUAUAUGUGUAUAUAGGGUCUUCCUAUGAUGCUAAUAUGCAGUGUCUGUGCAAGACCUUGCCUCAGUAAAGCUGGACUCAAGAGUCAUCUUCGUAGUCAUAAAGUGAGAAAGAUGAGUGACAACCUGGCCACUGGUGGUGUUACACACCAUACUAAUCAUAUCUCUCAGGCAUGUGGAAGAGAGUGUAAUUCAGCAGGAGGACUUAAACGACAUGCAAAUGUACAUGAAGCCCAGCUACAACUACAGCCGGCUAUUACCGGUAAAGCUUUUAGUUGCCAAUUCUGUACAAGACAUUGUAGAUCUUUGGCUGGG